UCCUACGGGAGGCAGCAGUGGGGAAUAUUGCACAAUGGGCGCAAGCCUGAUGCAGCAACGCCGCGUGAGGGACGAAGGCCUUCGGGUUGUAAACCUCUUUUAGUAGGGAAGAAGCGACUGGGUUUUCCUGGGAGUGACGGUACCUGCAGAAAAAGCACCGGCUAACUACGUGCCAGCAGCCGCGGUAAUACGUAGGGUGCAAGCGUUGUCCGGAAUUAUUGGGCGUAAAGAGCUCGUAGGCGGUUUGUCGCGUCUGCUGUGAAAACCCGAGGCUCAACCUCGGGCCUGCAGUGGGUACGGGCAGACUAGAGUGCGGUAGGGGAGAUUGGAAUUCCUGGUGUAGCGGUGGAAUGCGCAGAUAUCAGGAGGAACACCAAUGGCGAAGGCAGAUCUCUGGGCCGUAACUGACGCUGAGGAGCGAAAGCAUGGGGAGCGAACAGGAUUAGAUACCCUGGUAGUCCAUGCCGUAAACGUUGGGAACUAGAUGUGGGGACCAUUCCACGGUCUCCGUGUCGCAGCUAACGCAUUAAGUUCCCCGCCUGGGGAGUACGGCCGCAAGGCUAAAACUCAAAGGAAUUGACGGGGGCCCGCACAAGCGGCGGAGCAUGCGGAUUAAUUCGAUGCAACGCGAAGAACCUUACCAAGGCUUGACAUAUACCGGAAACGGCUGGAAACAGUCGCCCCGCAAGGUCGGUAUACAGUGGUGCAUGGUUGUCGUCAGCUCGUGUCGUGAGAUGUUGGGUUAAGUCCCGCAACGAGCGCAACCCUCGUCCUAUGUUGCCAGCACGUAAUGGUGGGAACUCAUGGGAUACUGCCGGGGUCAACUCGGAGGAAGGUGGGGAUGACGUCAAAUCAUCAUGCCCCUUAUGUCUUGGGCUUCACGCAUGCUACAAUGGCCGGUACAAAGGGCUGCGAUACCGCAAGGUGGAGCGAAUCCCAAAAAGCCGGUCUCAGUUCGGAUUGAGGUCUGCAACUCGACCUCAUGAAGUCGGAGUCGCUAGUAAUCGCAGAUCAGCAACGCUGCGGUGAAUACGUUCCCGGGCCUUGUACACACCGC
rnacentral:rRNA from 1 species